GUGGGGAAUAUUGGACAAUGGGCGAAAGCCUGAUCCAGCCAUGCCGCGUGUGUGAAGAAGGUCUUCGGAUUGUAAAGCACUUUAAGUUGGGAGGAAGGGCAGUAAGUUAAUACCUUGCUGUUUUGACGUUACCGACAGAAUAAGCACCGGCUAACUUCGUGCCAGCAGCCGCGGUAAUACGAAGGGUGCAAGCGUUAAUCGGAAUUACUGGGCGUAAAGCGCGCGUAGGUGGUUUUGUAAGUUGGAGGUGAAAACCCCGGGGUCAACCUGGGAACUGCCUCGAAAACUGCAUGACUAGAGAACGGUAGAGGGUAGUGGAAUUUCCUGUGUAGCGGUGAAAUGCGUGGAUAUAGGAAGGAACACCAGUGGCGAAGGCGACUACCUGGACUGAUACUGACACUGAGGUGCGAAAGCGUGGGGAGCAAACAGGAUUAGAAACCCCUGUAGUCC
rnacentral:rRNA from 1 species